rnacentral:rRNA from 1 species
UGGCGGCAGGCUUAACACAUGCAAGUCGAGCGGGCGUAGCAAUACGUCAGCGGCAGACGGGUGAGUAACGCGUGGGAACAUACCUUUUGGUUCGGAACAACACAGGGAAACUUGUGCUAAUACCGGAUAAGCCCUUACGGGGAAAGAUUUAUCGCCGAAAGAUUGGCCCGCGUCUGAUUAGCUAGUUGGUGAGGUAACGGCUCACCAAGGCGACGAUCAGUAGCUGGUCUGAGAGGAUGAUCAGCCACAUUGGGACUGAGACACGGCCCAAACUCCUACGGGAGGCAGCAGUGGGGAAUAUUGGACAAUGGGCGCAAGCCUGAUCCAGCCAUGCCGCGUGAGUGAUGAAGGCCCUAGGGUUGUAAAGCUCUUUUGUGCGGGAAGAUAAUGACGGUACCGCAAGAAUAAGCCCCGGCUAACUUCGUGCCAGCAGCCGCGGUAAUACGAAGGGGGCUAGCGUUGCUCGGAAUCACUGGGCGUAAAGGGUGCGUAGGCGGGUCUUUAAG